ACAGGUGCUGCAUGGCUGUCGUCAGCUCGUGUCGUGAGAUGUUGGGUUAAGUCCCGCAACGAGCGCAACCCUUGCCUUUAGUUGCCAGCAGUUCGGCUGGGCACUCUAAAGGGGACUGCCGGUGUUAAACCGGAGGAAGGUGGGGAUGACGUCAAGUCCUCAUGGCCUUAUGACCAGGGCUACACACGUACUACAAUGGCCGAUACAAAGGGCAGCGACACUGCGAGGUGAAGCCAAUCCCGUAAAAAUCGGUCUCAGUCCGGAUUGGAGUCUGCAACUCGACUCCAUGAAGUUGGAAUCGCUAGUAAUCGUGGAUACAGCAUGCCACGGUGAAUACGUUCCCGGGCCUU
rnacentral:rRNA from 1 species